UGGAGAAGGCGAGCUUCGGCUAUAACAACAACAUAAGUUUUUUCUCGUGAUUGCUUAUAAUUAUUGAUCGAUUCAACGCUGCUGCUGAUAGCGUUACCUAUUCGUGCGCGUUUGAAACGAAGUUUUUUUAAACAAGAUUUAGCAUGCUUGGCCUUUUAAUAUUUCUUUUUAUAUUGUUGACCACGCAAUAAGAACUUGAAGACGAUGCUCUUUUUAAAGAUAAAACUUUAGAUAAAGGUCAAACUUUUGAUAUAUUUGGUUUUUAUUUCCAAAACCCUUGCAUCUCACACAUACAACUAUAUGUUGCAUAGCCAAGAACAAGAUCGUUUAAUAGCCUACUUUUUAUAAUUGAUGAACAUUCAUUAAAAGAGUUUAUCUUCUGAAAAAUUAACAAACAUUAAAACAAUAAGAAUAAUGACGGCAUAGCGGAAUCGGAACAUGCAUGUUAAGAAUAAAAAUUGCUAAUUGAAAAGAGAUAUAUCUUUUAACUGUGCAUUUACAAGCUGAAGAAAUGUAACCAUUGAUUUUUUAUACUUUAAAAUGCAUUAAAAUUUGGAAAACAGUUAGAGCUCAUUACUACGAACCUAAAAGACACAAUAAGCCUGUCGUCAAAUAUGUAAUGUCUGUAAAAUUUAACACUAACAGUUUAAUAUUUUGUUAUUGAAAAGAAAUACUGUAUCAAUCACGGGCUGCUCAAAAAAGCAGUUUUACCAACAGUUUAAAAGCUUUUAGUAUGCCAAAUAACCGUGAAGACAAACGAUACACGAUUAAAAAUUCUUUAAUAAGUUGUGUAAUAAUAUUGUAACUUUAAUUGUUAUUUUAUUUGAAAUAA